rnacentral:rRNA from 3 species
UUUGGUGGCGAUAGCGAAGAUGUCACACCCGUUCCCAUACCGAACACGGAAGUUAAGCUCUUCAGCGCCGAUGGUAGUCGGGGGUUUCCCCCUGUGAGAGUAGGACGCCGCCAAGC